CCCGCUGAACUUAAGCAUAUUACUCAGCGGAGGAAAAGAAAACAACCGUGAUUCCCUCAGUCAGCGGCGAGCGAAGAGGGACCAAACUCGAUGCCGAAUCGGGGCUGAACGCCCUUGAGUUGUGGCAUUUGCCGUGAUUGUGGCGGCGGACUGGCAAAGUUCAAGCGCAAAGCAAACCCAUUGCUGAAAACUACCCUUCAUUUGAGUAUUGAGCCAUAGAAGGUGUUAGCCCAUUUGAGCCAGAAACCGUCCGUUACAAGAAGCGGUACAAGAGAGUAGCACUGUUUGGGAGUGCAGUGUUAAGCGGCAGGUAUGGGUCUGCCAAGGUUAAAUACAAAGUGGGAAGACCGAUAGCAAACAAGUAGCGUGAGCGAAAGUUUGAAAAGUACUUUGGAAAGAGAGUGACAUAGAACCUGAAGUCGUGACAACGAUAAUGGACGUACCUCCAUUUUAUCUGCCAAAACCAGCCUCGAGGCAUUGAACGCAUACAGAACUAAACGACUGUGUGUGCCAACAAGUGCAAAAAGAGGUGUGGGUAAAUCGAGCGGAGAAAUAAGUGUCAGGCACUGCCGUGCUCGGCUCGGAAAGGGUCGUUGUGCGUCCAGCAAGUUUGGUACUUCUCCGUGGUAGCUCGAUGUUGGCAAACACAAAGUGGAAAUGGGGUACUUUCACCCGUCUUGAAACACGG
rnacentral:rRNA from 1 species